AUUGACACAUCGGUUUCCGUACGAUCACCGAAGUUAAGCAACGUCGAGCCUGGUCAUUACUUAGAUGGCCGACUGCUUGAGAAUACCAGGUGCUGUAAG